CCCAGCAGCCCUUGCAACCGCCUACAAUGAAAUUUGCGAAGUUUUUUCGGUUUCGGCGCCAUUUUCGAGUGGACUCGGAGGAAUCGGGCUUCCAGAUCUGUCCCUUGUUGUUUAAAACUGGAUGAGAUGACAAUGCAAAAAAAUGGAAGUAACAAGAAGCAUCAUACUUUUCUUCUCCUCAGCAGUGUUGAGAAAAAACUGUGGAUCCUGGAAUUUUACUGUGGAUUUUACGGGUUUUCUGGAGUACUGCUCCCGCCGCAAGGGCGAGCGCCUCGUGCGCGGGGACGGGCGGCGCGGGAGGAGCCCAGGCGCCCGCGCUGGGAGGUGAGUGGGGAAGGUAAGCUCGCGCCUCCGCCCCGCUCCCCUCUGGAGAAGUGGGGGUUCCUCUGCGACGCCUCUCCCGCUGCGGGGAGGGGCCCGAGGGAAAUCACCCUGCCCCGCUGCCGCCUUCCUGAUUUCACCUUGAGAAUCCAAAGCGCACAAACUAAGUUUGAAAGAAGUUAAAAGCGCGAGAUGACACGAUUCAAACGUAGAGCUUGACGGCCUAGAAUAAUUCUGCUGUCAUGCCGUGAACACCCAUGUUUUCUCAGAUACCGAUUUCACCGCCUAUCCCAAAUUUCCACUGGCCCGGCGCUCGGUGUGAAUGUUGAUUUUUCUCUGUGCUAGAGUAGGCUGGUGGCGUGCGUUGAACCCGCGCUUUGGAAAGUCCUCCCGGCUAAAGAGAGCUCUUACCCCCCUGUCAAACUAGGCUAAAGACUGGGGAAUUUUUUUAGAUAGAGCUACAAAUACAAACACGCAUUAAACAUGAACCUCAACCGCGAUCAAAAUGGAUUCUAGAGCUGAGCUUGGUUGCAGCUGGCAUUUUGGAGGGUUUUGGUUUUUUUUUUUUUUUGAGUCACUUGAAGAGAUCAAAGAAAUAAAACUACGUAGGUACAAUCCAGUAAAACAUUGUUAGAGAAAAAAUGGUAAAAUUAUGCAGGGGGGUUGUUUUGUUUUAGCUUGUACAGGUUUAACUUUCCCUGGGUACUUGGCUUUGCACUAAGUAGCAGUUGCUCGUUCGAGAGUUGGACCUGGUGCUAUCGGUAUUGAGGGCACCGAAGUAAAAAAAAAAAAAAAAAAACAAACCCAAAAAAAACAACCCCAAACUUUUUUGUUGGCAAAUAUUUGAUUUAAAAUUUGCAAUGAUUUGGCACAGGUCACAAGAGCUUUUGAAAUUCCUAUUUUUAAGUUUGUUAAACAGGCAGGGACUAGGAGGAGGACAAACUGGAACUCGGCUAAGCGGCGUGUUUAGCGCGAGGGGACGGCACAAGCAUUCGAACUAAUGGCGUCAUUUCUGACAUUGUUCAUUUUUUUUAUGUGAUGCUGCUUUUUAAGAAAAUGAAUUGAAGGAAGUUGUCACAUAACUGGGGGGGGGGGGGGGGGGGGGAAGUCAAAAGGAAACACAAAAAAUGUCAGGCUAUCUGCACAGCCCUCGCAGGCUGGCGUGCAAGUGCCGCUGGCAGCCGCGUGCUGCUGAGCCGCAGCCCCCUUUCUCCUUUCUGCCCUGCGCUGGUAUUUUCUUUUUCUGGUACAGGCAAGGCAGGCUGUGAAGUCCCAGAGUAUCUUUAAUUUCUAGUCGCAUAAGAUUUGUCCAUUCAAACAGUAAGUGAGCAUAAUCUAGUCCUUAAACAAGUGGGUUUUUCUUUUUAGAUUUCUCAAAAGUCAUAAUGAACUGAAUAAAAAUAUUUUAAGGAAAACUUAACGGGUUUGAACUGUUGGAAUCUGGAUUUAUUUAUCUGAAGUAUUAUCGUUGCAACUCCUGGAAAAUCCUUGAUGUUCAACAGCCCUUAAGAGGAAAGUACAAGGUAACAUUUCCCCACAGACCACCUGGACAGGCCAGGAAGGUCUGCAGACUCUUUACAGUAGCAAAAGCAGCAGAUCUGCUAGAUCUGAAAGUGUAGAUUUGGUGGUACCCAACUACGAAGUAUGCUUUGGGGGUGGGGGAACAGUUAAUUUCUGAUUUUGUUUCUGAAACUGGUUUGUUUGCACUGUGUAACUGCUUGUUCUCUUAUAGUUACAGACUUUCUGAUAGCACCCACGAAGAAAAAAAAAAAAAUGUCCCGUGGUGGUAAUGCAUGCACGUUAAAUGUCUUCAUUGUAGAGUGUUCUUCAGUACCUUAUGUCAUGGUUUUAAAAAAAAUAUAUAUAUAUUCAAAAUACCA